rnacentral:rRNA from 1 species
CAGCAGCCGCGGUAAUACGAAGGGUGCAAGCGUUAAUCGGAAUUACUGGGCGUAAAGCGUGCGUAGGCGGCUUCUUAAGUCGGAUGUGAAAUCCCUGAGCUUAACUUAGGAAUUGCAUUCGAUACUGGGAAGCUAGAGUAUGGGAGAGGAUGGUAGAAUUCCAGGUGUAGCGGUGAAAUGAGUAGAGAUCUGGAGGAAUACCGAUGGCGAAGGCAGCCAUCUGGCCUAAUACUGACGCUGAGGUACGAAAGCAUGGGGAGCAAACAGGAUUAGAUACCCCCGUAGUCCCUGUCUCUUAUAC